ACGUAAUAGAUACCCUGGUAGUCCACGCCCUAAACGAUGUCUACUAGUUGUUGGUGGAGUAAAAUCCAUGAGUAAACGCAGCUAAACGCGUGAAGUAGACCGCCUGGGGAGUACGGUCGCAAGAUUAAAACUCAAAGGAAUUGACGGGGGCCCGGCACAAGCGGUGGAUUAUGUGGAUUAAAUUCGUAUGCAACGCGAAAAACCUUAACCUGGCCUUGACAUGCCACUAACGAAGCAGAGAUGCAUUAGGUGCCCGUAACGGGAAAGUGGACACAGGUGCUGCAUGGCUGUCGUCAGCUCGUGUCGUGAGAUGUUGGGUUAACGUCCCGCAACGAGCGCAACCCUUGCCAUUAAUUGCCAUCAUUUAGUUGGGCACUUUAAUGGGACUGCCGGUGAC
rnacentral:rRNA from 1 species